UGAGGUGGCACGUGGCCUCAUCUCUUUAAUUCAAACAUCCCAUCCUAGGCAUGUGGCUUGACUUGCUAGCUUGCUGCGCAUUUAUUGCUUUGUGCAGGGCCUCCAUACUAGUGACAAGACUUGACAUUUAUGCUUAUGACAAACGUUCCAUCAAUCAUUCGAAUAAGAUCUUUAUGCAGACGAUCUCUUGGGAGAAGUGAACAUGGAGGACACUCCUUCGUGGUUCGGAGGCUCCUACGUCUGC
rnacentral:lncRNA from 1 species